AAAUUUGUACAUACUAUUCACAACAGCAUUGUCCAGAAUAGCAAAAAACUGGAAACAAGUCAAAUGUUCAUCAAUAGGCAAAUGCAUGGAAAAAUUAUGAUAAAUCCAUACUCACCAGUAAAAAAAAAACAAAAAAACUAGUGAUAUGCAAACCAACUUGGAUAAAUCUCAAAAGCACAUUGAGUAGAGGAAGUCACUCAAAAGAGUACAGACUGUAUUAUUCCAUUGAGAUGAUGUUCUAGAAAAACUAAAAUGAAUCUAUAGUUACAGAAAUCAGGUAAGUGGUUACCUGGGAUGGGAUGGUUAGGAUGGGAUUAACUACAAAAGAGAAAUAGGGAAGUUUCUGGGGUGCUAUAAAUAUUUUGAUUGAUUUAACAGUUACUGAGUGUAUAUAUUUGUUAAAAUUCAUCAAAGUCUACAUUGAAGUGUAUGCAUUGUAUUAUAUGUAAAUUAUGCCUCAGUACAGUAGAUUUUUUUAAAAUGUUCUCGUAGCUCCCCAUUGAACACAGGUGUCAUCAUGGCAAGACAUUUCCUAGCUGAGAGAUGCUUUUUCAUUCUUUCAUUCAAAAAGUAGCUUUUUCUUUCCUUCCUUCCUUCCUCUCUUUCUUUCUCUUUCUCUCUUUCUUUCUUUUCUUUCUUUCUCUUUUUUUUAGUGGCAAGGUCUUGUUUUGUCACCCAGGCUGGAGUGCAGUGGUGUGAUCAUAGCCAAUAGAGGGUGCACAGGCACGGGAGCUCAGGUGAGGCAGGGAGCUGAGCUCACCUGACCUCCCAUGCCUGUGCACCCUCUAUUAUAUCACUCGUAUGUCUACCAUUGUUUGCAGAUCGUGAGCUGCUUGAUGACUGAUGCUAGGGUGACCAACCAACCAAGUAUGCCCCAAACCAAAGGGUUUCCUGGGCUUCCUGAGCUAAGGGAUGUUCAGUGCUAAAACUGGGAGGCCCAGGCAAACGGGGAAAAUGGGUCACCUUAUCUGAGACCUUGUGCUACUCAUCUCUGAAAGCAUUCCCAGGCUUAGCCCCCUAUCAGGUGGGUGAUGUAUGCUCAGUAAAUGUUUCCUGAAAGGCUAGAAUAUGUGUGAGUAGGACACUUGAAAUUCUCCUUUGGUUUCCCAUGCAAACUGAGUCCUACAGUGAGAAAGCCAAGCGUAGUGGCAGAUCCUGCCCCAGACACCAGGCUCGCUUGGGUCCUGCCUAGGGCGCCAGCCUCUCUCCCAUGUCAUUGGUGUUCUGGAAAGCAGAUAAACAACUGACUUCAAGUCCUAUUUAAGUUUUAUGGGGUAGCCAAGGUCUUCCAGGGCUCCAUCUCCAGGAAGCCCCCUCCCUGCAGCCUGGCUGGCUUUUCUUCUUCUUCUGGUGAAGUCAUCCGACCCCAAGUGGCCCACAGUUUCCUUUCUCUCCACACCUCCCAAACCCGCUGCCCAGUCCUGGCACUGCCUGGGGUUACUGCUGACCUUUCAGUGCUGUUUGCUCAGAAAGUGCCUUUAUGUCAACACAAACAGCCUUCAGGUUUGCCAGGGCCUGGCUCCUUUUCUCCCUGGGGUCCAGGGUAGAAAAACAAUAACCAGUGGGAAGGAGAGCGAGCCAUAGGGGAGUGACGCGUCCCUGGACCUUGGGUCUCUGUCCUCUCAGCCCUGUCCCUCAGGGCCUCCUUUGUCAGAACUCAGUUCUGUGGGGAGAGGGUACUGGGGAGGCAGCGGCUUUAAACAAUGCCACAGUGUCUGGCAGGGAGCUGCGUGCUUGACCUGAUUAGGCUCAGUGAGCCCGGGGGAGGGAGGGAGUGAAGGCAGGCUUGGGAAAGUGUUUUCCAUCCCCACCCAACAGACUUUGCUUCCUUGUAUCUCUGCCAAGACCUCUUUUUGGGGAGGAAAGGCCGAAUCGCCUCAUUUCUACAGGGGCACCUUGGCCUCGCUCCUCUAAACCUGGGUAAGCUCUUUGACCUGCCUGUCCCCCUCCCUCUUGUCUUUCCUUCCCACCAACCAGCUCCCAAACAGAAAGUGUUUUUCACACUCGCAGCUCUCCCUCCUCAGGCCCUGCCAGGCCCGAAGCUGGGCCCAGAGGCCAGCUGGCACCCACAUGAAAGGCCUUCCUGUCGAGAACUGGCAUGGAACCCAGGGCCUCAAGGCUGCCCACACCACAGCCCUGGCCCAGGGUCCAGAGCACAGGGCCACGGAAACUUGGCCACAAGGCUCUGGGGAGAAAAACAGCCUGAGCCGCACAGGAGAGGAGCCUCCCAUCCCCGCAGCCUGGCUGGGCACAUCAAGGGAGAAAGCGCAGUGCCCAGAAUCCUUUGAACAUGAAGCCGCAGCACCUGCACCUGGCAGAGGACCCGGGAACCAGGGAUUCGUGCUGGGGGCAGCACUUGGGGUUUGUUAGUGCAGGUGGAGAGAAAACAGGAGAGUAGCAAUUUCCAACCCAUCAGCAGAAAAAAGUGAAAGCUGAGAAGUCAGGGUGAGGCUGGAGGGGACAGGAUGGGGUGGCUGGGUGGGCCCAGAAUUGAGAUCUGAUUUGCAAAAUGGUGGCAAAAGGCAACAGACUGCGGCUCCCUUGAGAGAAAAACCUGGUCUCCCAACCGGCAAUGGGUGUGGUUAUCAAACGCACAGCCAUGCCUGUUCCCAGGAUGCAGGUGCAGUCUGGAUAAACUGAGACUAGGGUUGGGGGGGAUCUGUUCAAGGUUGCACAGCACCUUCAAGAUGGGGCUUGAACUACAAACCCAGGACUCCGGACCUGGAAAGAAUCUCCUAGGAGGUUCUGGAGGGUUCAUUCUUGGACAGAAAUCUGGGAGAACCUACAGCAAAAUGGCAACAAUGUGAUUGUGGGUAACUUAAAGUUUGUGGUUUUGUGUGUGGUUUUUUGUUUUUUGCUUACCUGUGCUUUCUACUUUUUUUUUUUUUUUUUUUUUUUUUUUUUUACAGUGAGAAAAAAAUACCUGUGGGGAAAAAAACAUAAUGGAAAAUAAGAGUUUUGAUGAAAUGAUACACUACACAUAAGGUGUUAAGCAGGAUGAGGGGCUGGCAUUUAAUAAUGGAUAAAUAAAGGUUAAAAGUAAUUAGCUUAAGGGGAGAGAGGGCAAGGAAGAGGAAGCAGAAGGAAGGGAGAAAGGGGAAAGAGGAACAUCCAAAGUAAGGAAGAAGUCAAAGCUAAAGGAAAGGAGUGAAAGAGGGAAAGGAGAAAGAAUAUUAACAAGAAGAGUGAAUAUUGGCCAGGUACAGCAGCUCAUGCCUAUAAUUCCAGUGCUUUGAGAGGCAGAGGCAGGAGGAUCACUUGAGCCCAGGAGUUUGAGACCAGCCUGAGCAACACAGCAAGACCUUGUCUCUACAAAAAUUGAAAAAAUUAACCAGGCUUAGUGGCACGCAUCUGUAGUCUCAGCUACUCAGGAGACUUAGGAGGAAGGAUUGCUUGAGCCCAGGAAGUCAAGGCUGCAAUGAGCUAUGAUUAUGCCACUGCACUCCAGCCUGGGUGACAGAGCAAUACCCCACCUCAAAAUGUAUAAUAAUAAUUUUAAAGAAUAAAUUUAAUUUUUUAAAAUAGUGAAUAUCUUCACGGAUUCCUGGAUCUCAGUGCUGCCUCGCAAAGACAAAAUAAAUAUCAAAGUAUCAGUCAUCAAGUUAGCACACUCCUCACCUUCCUUCAGGUCCGUGUGAAAGACCCUGGGUUGGGCUGGACUAGAGGGAAGUUUCCUGAACUAGCUGUGGUUCCAGCUGUGUAGACAGUUAGUUGGUUACUAACAGCAUUCACAGAGCGUCUGCAAUGGGGGUUGUUUCAUAUGACUAGUUUCUAGGAUUCCAUCACACACACACACACACGCACACACAGAAGACACUGGGCACCUCAUUUCAGAAGCGUCAUGCCUACUGUUUGGAAAUGAGUGUUCUACGUGUCCUCUCUGGAGGGAGGCUGAGCUGGAGAUGGGAGGGAGUCUUUGCUGCCAGCGCCCUGCAGGGUAAUCCAACCAUCCUUGGUGACAUCAUGUUUUCUGAGUGGAUGUUUGCUUCAGAAGCUGCAAAAUAAUCUCAACUUUCAGCCCCAACUUCUCCCCAGGAGGGCAGCAUCCUGUGAAUUUGGCCAAAACGGAACUCACACCACAGCUCAUUAAGGGAGCAAUCAGCGAGGGUACCAAAAUGCUGCCUCCCUCACACUUUCCACCCUGCAUCCCCCAUCAAAACUCUCAUAGCCUGUGUCUCUCUGGGUGCCAGAGGGAGAGAAAAUGCAUGUUCCAAUGGGGUAUUGAGGAAGGGAGAGGAGAAAGAGGGGCAGGUCGAAGGAGCCUGGUAGAGAAAGGGGGUGACCCCACCUGGCUCCCUCCAGGGCUGGGGUCUCUUGUGACAGGCACUGGGCUGAUGGAAAGCAGCUGCGGGACCUUGGCAGACCCAAGUGGGGCCAGCUGGAGAGAGAAACUACCCCUGAACGUCAUAGGAAUUUAAUGCCCACUGAGCUAGGGGAGCCAAUGUCAACAUCUCUGAGCCAGAGGCCAGGGACUAGCAAAGCAAAUGCAGCUCAAAAGAUGAGGUGCCCCAUCACCCGACAGGGGCUCCUUGGCUGUGAAGCCAGAGGGAUCUUAGUUCAGAUUCCGGCUGGGUGACCUUGAGUAAUUUACUUGGCCCUUCCAAACCUCACCUUUUGCACCUGACAUGGGGCUCCAGUCAUUUCUUCAUGUAUUCAUUUGUUCAAUAAGUAUUUACUUAGUGUGUACCAUGUGCCACGCACCGUGCAUACAACAGCAAUCAAACUAUUGUCCCUAUUGUCCCUGCUCCAAAGGAAGUUGUAGCUUAGUGAGGACAAGCAAAAAGGUUCUUCUAAAACAGAAUGAGAAUUUCUACCCUAGCGAUAUACACUGGGAAGGAUAGGAGUAUAAACUAGUCUUGAGACCAAAAAAUCUUUCUGUAAGAAGGAACAUCUAAGUUGAGACUUGCAAGAUAAGUAGGAGUUCUUGCAAAAAGAAAGAAAAAGCAAUGUGUGCACAGAGCUGGUGGUGAGAGAGAGCACGGCUUCAUGAAAAAGAAAAAAACAAUGUGUGCACAGAGCUGGUGGUGAGAGAGAGCAUGGCAUCAUGGAGGAACAGAAAUAGUUCAGCAUGGCUGGAGAUGGAACAUGUUUGGUAAAAAGGAGCUCAGGGAGGGUGAGGCUGAAGAAGGGAGUGAAGGUCUGACUAUGGAGGCCUUGUAUAGCAUGCUUGAGUUUAUUUGUUUGUUUUUGUUUUUGUUUUGAGACAGAGUCUUGCUCUGUCACCAAAGCUGGAGUGCGGUGGCAUGAUCUUGGCUCACUCACUGCAAACUCUGCCUCCUGGAUUCAACAUUCUCCUGCCUCAGCCUCCCGAGUAGCUGGGAUUACAGAUGUGCACCACCAUGCCCAGCUAAUUUUGUAUUUUUGGUAGAGAUGGGUUUUCGCCGUGUUGGCCAGGCUGGUUUUGAACUCCUGACCUCGAGUGAUCUGCCCGCCUCGGCCUCCCAAAAUGCUGGGAUUACAGGCAUGAGCCACCAUGCCCGUCCUCAUGCUUGAGUUUAGAUUUCAUCCUGAGUCUACACUUGAAUGAAGGUUUCCAGUAGGGGAAUGAGAUGAUCAGAUUUCUGUGGCUAGAGGGUGCAGAACUGAUUGGAGGAGAGAAGGACACGAGAUGGGGAAAAGACUGUUAGAGGGAAGCUGUUGGAGGGAUCCAGGCAAGAGGCAGCAGAGGUCUGAGCUGUGGAGGUGAAGAGAAGGCAGAGAAGACAAAAGCAGCACUGAAUGGUAUUCUUCUGUCCGGAUGUACCACAGUUUAUUUAUCCAUUCCCCUCUGAAGAACAUCUUGAUGGCUUCCAAGUUUUGGCACUGAUGAAUAAAGCUGCUAUAAACAUCCA